ensembl:snRNA U6 U6 spliceosomal RNA
UUGCUUCAGCAGCAUAUAUAAUAAAAUUGGAAUGAUACAGAGAAGAUUUGUAUGGGCCCUAGGUAAGAAUGACACGCAGAUUUGUGAAGCAUUGAAUAUUUUU